rnacentral:rRNA from 1 species
AACACGUUCAGCUAACCGGUACUAAUUGCCCGUGCGGCUUGAUCCU